rnacentral:lncRNA from 1 species
GUUUUAAUUGUUAGAUUUGUGUUCGAAGGAAUUUCAGUUGGGUUUUUAAUAGUGGGAUUUUGAACUUUUAACUCAAUGAUUUUAUCUCUUUCGUUAAUACAUAUCCUGGAAAGUCAGUGUGUCGUCUUCAAUUCUUACCCGGUGAUUGUUCGACGUAAGUCACCAGAGAAAUCGGAAAUGCAGUGUUUCUCUGCUCGACCGCUCCCGCCAUAUUCAGUACAUCUACGGUGAAAACUUCGAGCCCGCAUUGGUUUUUGGAGGAAUUAGUUCAUCGGCCCCGGCGGCACGCAGUCUUGGUACGUGCUAUAAACAUCUCCGUCGGAAAAAAAGUGAAUCUGCACUGCCAAUUGGGAAGGUGACUUAUUUAUCAUCUCCGGAGUCACACGCUUCAAGAUUAUUUAUGUUCGACCCUCCCCUGAAUUUGGUCUUUUUUCUCUCCCAUUUGUCCUCUCAAUGGUAUGUUAUUCACUUCCUAAAAAUUGUAAUGCGCAAGCACAUGACUUCUGUUUUGAUUUUGUAUGUUAUGUGCAUCAUCACUCAGGCUGUAGGAGCAAUUUUGAGUUCGGCCCUAAUUGCUAUUUUUGUUGAAGAAAAUAUUUAAAUGAAUAUGUGAGUUAACUUUACACUUGCAGUUAUGGAGUUCACAAUUGCAUGUAGAAAUUCACAUGAUCAAUGUAGUCUGGUACAUAAUUGAUAAUUUGGUUGAUGUGACUUGUAUUUACCCACUCGUGUUUAUUUUUCUUUAGUAAGCACUAUGCAUUCUUGUUCGAUUCUGGAGCCUACUACCAACUUGAGGAUUUUUAAUUUUUUUUCUAGAGAAAGAAUUGGGGUAAAAGAUACCAAAUCUGAAUACAAAAUCUAUGCUGUAUUUAUAUAAUGUAACUGAUAAGUAUUUCAUUACAACUAGAAGAUUGGAAAAUCUAUUAAUGAGUAAUUUCUAAAUGUAUUCCUAGAACAAGAGUGUCCUGUUGGAAUUUAAUCCAUCUAAAGGUGAUCUCCUUCAUUGGGAAUGUGAUUUCUAUCAUUUUUCAUGGGCCGAAAUAACUCGACUUAGUGAUAUAUGCUGCAAAUGUUGCUCCACUAGUUACGACACUUGUGGUAUCCAAGUAUCAUCUAUAGAAGGAUGAUCUUUCCAUCGAACAAAGAAUUAAUGACAUAAUGAUCCUCUAAGACAUCUAUAGUGACAUCAUUUGUCCAUGCAGAAAAAUGAAGAAUGAUAACUGGAUCCUUGUAUAUAUGAGGCUUUCCAAGUUUAGGAAAAGUAAGUAGGGUUUAUUUUAUAGAUAUUCUAGUAUUUUAUUUGUUGUUUCUUGCUUAAAUUAGAUUAGUUUAAACCCUUUUAAUAGCUUAUGCAUUGUAAUAGGAGACUUAUAAUAUUGAAUACAAACAUAUUUAUCCAAAUUUCUGCUUCUUCCCCUUCCCCUUCCCCUUCUUCUAUAAUCCUUGUUCUUGUUAGUUUCAUUCUAUGUCAACAACCUUUGAUUGACCAUUAAUUUCAAUGUAGGAAGGAAAUCGUACAAGUGGAAAAUUUUCUUGAAAAACAAUUUAGUCGUACAACAAGCAUUAGUAGUUUUGGAACAUGGAAUUAACAAAACAAAAUCAUGACCCCAUCUUUAGAUCCCCUUAAUAGAGUGAUAUCAAUAAACCCUGAGGGGUGGCUCAGUGGCCAGAUCUUAGAUCUGUUUCUCAAUAGUCACCAGUUCGAGUUUUCUCAAAACCACUGAGGUGAGUAACCAGCUGUAAACUUUAGGGCCCCCUGGGAUUAGUCGAGGUGCGUGUAAGCUGGCCCGAAAACCCAUGAUAAAAAAAAAAAAAAAAAGAGUGAUAUAGGUAAGCCAUCACAAUAGAGGUCCUAACUUGAGUGAAACUAGAAAUUGGUGCAGGAGUGCACUGUGGACACUAAACUUUAUGGCGUCUAGCAUGACAACAAAGAUAGAAUUUUAGAAGCAGAUGGAAGGUACUAGAAGAAGAAGACUUUUGCAUCUACUUGAGUUAAGGUUAUACGUGAUAUAUUCUUGAAGGUUUGAUCCAUUGGCUGAUCCAGGAAGAGUGGAAUGAGAUCCAUUACUGGACCUACCGAAGGAACUUGGACUAGAUUUGUCAAGCAUCAACAGUUGGGCUAGGUACAUCUCUUAUGAUUCAGGGGAAUGUAAUGUAAUCUCACAUUUAAUCUCUACUUUUAGGCCAUUUGUUAAAGGUGGUGGGACAUAAAACUUCAUAUAUGAGAGUAUCUUGUCCAUCGUUUAAAAUUUUAUUUUAUUUGAUUUCAAUUUUAGCCUUCGAAGUGAUAGAGUACUGAACUGGACCCUCAACAUUACAUAGUACCAUUUUGCCAGCAAUGUUGGGCAGGUCUACAAACUUGUUAAACGAGUAAGUUGGGCAUUUUUCAUGCCAUAUUCCUCAAUGUACUCAUGGAAUAUCGAUUCUAGAAUACCUCAUUUGCUUCAAUUCAUCCUUUCACUGCUCUCAAGGGUGUUGAUCAAUCAAGAAAUGCUUUACGGCACAUCAAGUGGAAACGAUCAAAUUUGAAAGAUCAUGGCAAUUAUUGUUUUAAGCCUGCUAAGUGAGAAUAACCAUAUUUAUAUGCACCGUUUCGGGGUGCUUAACCGUGCCAAGCUUUAUUUAUGAAUUUUGAAUUUCAUAUCUAUGCCAGUUUCGCAAGUCAAUUGUUGUUAUAGGAGAGGAUGAACAAAAACUAUUUAUUCGAGUGUCCUUAAUUGGUAACCAUCUGUGUUUUCUUCUGGGGAAUAUGCAGUCUUGUACAACAGGAAGAUGCUUCAUUUGAUUGUACUCAUAUACUUUAUGAAUUUGAGAUAAAUUAUGUUUAACAGUUGCAGAAAUGUGUUAGG